rnacentral:rRNA from 1 species
AAUUAACGCUGGCGGCAUGCGUAACACAUGCAAGUCGUACGAGAAAGCCCGGUUCGCCGGGCGAGUAAAGUGGCGCACGGGUGAGUAACGCGUGGGUAAUCUACCCCGGUCUGGGGGAUAACGCACCGAAAGGUGCGCUAAUACCGCAUGACCCGGCGGGUUUUCGGACCUGCUGGAAAAGGUGGCCUCUACAUGUAAGCUACCGAACCGGGAUGAGCCCGCGUCCUAUUAGCUAGUUGGUGGGGUAAAGGCCUACCAAGGCGACGAUGGGUAGCUGGUCUGAGAGGACGGCCAGCCACACUGGAACUGGUACACGGUCCAGACUCCUACGGGAGGCAGCAGUGAGGAAUAUUGCGCAAUGGGGGAAGCCCUGACGCAGCGAUGCCGCGUGGGUGAAGAAGGCCUUCGGGUCGUAAAGCCCUGUCAAACGGGAAGAAUAGCUUCGGGGCUAAUAUCCCCGAGGUGUGACGGUACCGUUGAAGGAAGCACCGGCUAACUCCGUGCCAGCCGCCGCCGUAAUAC